UCACCUAGCUCAGUUGGUAGAGUGUGACACUCCUAAUCUCAGAGCCAUGAGUUCAAGCCUCAGUUUGGGCAAAU